AUUGAACGCUGGCGGCAUGCUUUACACAUGCAAGUCGAACGGCAGCGCGGGCUUCGGCCUGGCGGCGAGUGGCGAACGGGUGAGUAAUGCAUCGGAGCGUGCCCAGUAGUGGGGGAUAGCCCGGCGAAAGCCGGAUUAAUACCGCAUACGACCUGAGGGGGAAAGCGGGGGACCGAAAGGCCUCGCGCUAUUGGAGCGGCCGAUGUCGGAUUAGCUAGUUGGUGGGGUAAAGGCUUACCAAGGCGACGAUCCGUAGCUGGUCUGAGAGGACGACCAGCCACACUGGGACUGAGACACGGCCCAGACUCCUACGGGAGGCAGCAGUGGGGAAUUUUGGACAAUGGGGGCAACCCUGAUCCAGCCAUGCCGCGUGCGGGAAGAAGGCCUUCGGGUUGUAAACCGCUUUUGUUCGGGAAGAAAUCCUCUGGGCUAAUACCCCGGGGGGAUGACGGUACCGGAAGAAUAAGCACCGGCUAACUACGUG
rnacentral:rRNA from 1 species